AUUGAACGCUGGCGGCAGGCCUAACACAUGCAAGUCGAACGAGUGGCGGACAGGUGAGGAAUGUCUGGGAAACUGCCCGAUGGAGGGGGAUAACAGCUGGAAACGGUAGCUAAUACCGCAUACCAUCGGAUGUGCCCAGAUGGGAUUAGCUUGUAGGUGAGGUAACGGCUCACCUAGGCGACGAUCCCUCGCUGGCCGGAGAGGAUGACCGGCCACACUGGAACUGAGACACGGUCCAGACUCCUAAGGGAGGGAGAAGUAGGGAAUAUUGGACAAGGGUGGCAAGUCGGAUCCAGCCACGCCGGGGGGAUGAAGAAGGCCUUCGGUUUGUAAAGUACUUUCAGCGGGGAGGCGGUACCCAACGAAGAAGCACCGGCUAACUCCGGGCCAGCAGCCGCGGUAAUAC
rnacentral:rRNA from 1 species